rnacentral:tRNA from 1 species
GCGUUUGUGGUUUAGUGGUAAAAUCCAUCGUUGCCAUUUGGCUGUACAGAACACCUUAAUAGGCCAGUAUAGUCAUUGUAUCGAUGGGCCCCGGGUUCGAUUCCCGGCGAACGCA